CUCAGGAUGAACGCUGGCGGCGUGCCUAAUACAUGCAAGUCGAGCGAACUGAUUAGAAGCUUGCUUCUAUGACGUUAGCGGCGGACGGGUGAGUAACACGUGGGCAACCUGCCUGUAAGACUGGGAUAACUUCGGGAAACCGAAGCUAAUACCGGAUAGGAUCUUCUCCUUCAUGGGAGAUGAUUGAAAGAUGGUUUCGGCUAUCACUUACAGAUGGGCCCGCGGUGCAUUAGCUAGUUGGUGAGGUAACGGCUCACCAAGGCAACGAUGCAUAGCCGACCUGAGAGGGUGAUCGGCCACACUGGGACUGAGACACGGCCCAGACUCCUACGGGAGGCAGCAGUAGGGAAUCUUCCGCAAUGGACGAAAGUCUGACGGAGCAACGCCGCGUGAGUGAUGAAGGCUUUCGGGUCGUAAAACUCUGUUGUUAGGGAAGAACAAGUACAAGAG
rnacentral:rRNA from 1 species